rnacentral:rRNA from 1 species
GAUGAACGCUGGCGGCGUGCCUAAUACAUGCAAGUCGAGCGAACGGACGAGAAGCUUGCUUCUCUGAUGUUAGCGGCGGACGGGUGAGUAACACGUGGAUAACCUACCUAUAAGACUGGGAUAACUUCGGGAAACCGGAGCUAAUACCGGAUGAUAUUUUGAACCGCAUGGUUCAAAAGUGAAAGACGGACUUGCUGUCACUUAUAGAUGGAUCCGCGCUGCAUUAGCUAGUUGGUAAGGUAACGGCUUACCAAGGCAACGAUGCAUAGCCGACCUGAGAGGGUGAUCGGCCACACUGGAACUGAGACACGGUCCAGACUCCUACGGGAGGCAGUAGUAGGGAAUCUUCCGCAAUGGGCGAAAGCCUGACGGAGCAACGCCGCGUGAGUGAUGAAGGUCUUCGGAUCGUAAAACUCUGUUAUUAGGGAAGAACAUAUGUGUAAGUAACUGUGCACAUCUUGACGGUACCUAAUCAGAAAGCCACGGCUAACUACGUG